UGGUGACCAAGCUAUUGAGCUACAAAGAUUUGCUAGGCGUUUGGUGAGUCUUUGUGCCUCAUCAUCUGGAUGUGAGCGCAAUUGGAGUACGUUUGAAUUUAUCCACACAAAGAAAAGAAACCGGUUUUUGCAUAAGAGGCUGAAUUCUAUUGUCUUUGUUUCCUACAACCGAAAGAUGAAAGCUAGGUUCCAAAAACUACGCCACAAGAAGGGGAAGAACUUUGAUCCUUUGGUUGUCGAGGACUUCAGUUGGGACAAUGAGUGGGCUGACUCAUUGCAUGUAGCCCCUGAAGGAGCGCGUGGGUGUGAGUGUGACCUUACAUGGGACCUUGUGGAUAAUGCUGUUGGAGCAUCACAAUCACUUCGUGGUCGAAAAUUACCAAGAAGAGCCCACAACGUGUAUUCAAGAAGAAAUUCACCACAUAUUGUUGAAGGGGAGUUGGGUUCAGAAAAUGAAGAGGAAGAAAAUGAAGAUCCACAUGAUGAUGCAGAUGUCACAGAUUCUGAGGAGCCUAAUGGUGCCAAUAAUGGUGGAGAACAAGUGGAGGCAGCAACCAAUAUUCCAGGAGAAUUUGAUGAUGGCUAUUGAGACUCGAGAGAUGGGAGAGUUCAAAACUCCAUAUAACCUAUCUAUUUUGCUAGUUCACAUAUCUGCUGCCCUAGCAGCAAGUACUAGUUAAUAUUAUGCCACUAGAACCUAGUUUGUGGCUAUUUCAGAUUUGAUAUUGUCCUAAAUUAUGUUCUGCUGCUACUUGGUGCCUUGCUGUUUUGCUACCUUAUGGCGUGCACUGUGCACUACUGCACUAGUACUGAUUAGUAUGUUAUUAUAAGGUUAUGAAUUGGCAUAUUAAGUGUUGACUUGCUUCUGAAUUUUUUGUUGCACUAUAUAUUAAUAUUCUUACAAGGCGUCGCCUAGGCGAACGCCUAAUUCGCCUAGGCAGCUAGGCGGUGGUUACUCGCCGCGCUUCGCCUUACCGCCUUUAAAACCAUGGAAUUGGCAACAAACGAGGUAUGUAUGUGCUGCACUAGUGUAUAAAAUUCUAGCUUACAACGCCUAAGCAAUGUGUGUAUGGCGUCGCCUAGGCGUCCGCCACAAACGCCUAGGCGUUGUGAAGGGGGUCGGGCGCCGCGCCUCGCCGCGUCGCCUCAAAAACAUUGCCAUCAAAUAUGGGCAGCUUGGACAUGUAUGCGAAAACAAAGAUCUUGUGAGUGGUUCUUGGGAAGGACGAUCAAGCUUUGUUGCUAUCUGAGUGUUAUUCAGCCUGCUACU